CGAAGGCGAAGCGAAAGCGAGUCUUAACAGGGCGAGAGCUUGUUGAGGUAGACGCGAAACCGAGUGAUCUACCCAUGGGCAGGUUGAAGUUCCGAUAAUAUCGGAAUGGAGGACCGAACUGGUAAACGUUGAAAAGUUUUCGGAUGACCUGUGGUAGGGGCGAAAGACUAAUCAAACUCGGAGAUAUCUCGUACUCCCCGAAAUGCAUUUAGGUGCAGCGUCGCCAAGAGUGUGUCGGAGGUAGAGCUACCAAUAGGGCUAGGGGGCUUCACCGCCUACCAACCCCUGAUGAACUCCGAAUGCCGACACAUUGCAACGGCAGUGAGGCGGUGGGUGCUAAGGUCCAUCGCCGAGAGGGGAACAACCCAGACCAUCGGCUAAGGCCCCGAAGUGAUCGCUAAGUUGAUAGAACGAUGGGUGGGGAUGCAUUGACAGCUAGGAUGUUGGCUUGGAAGCAGCCAUUCAUUUAAAGAGUGCGUAACAGCUCACUAGUCGAGCGUUCCUGCGCGGAAAAUAAGCGGG
rnacentral:rRNA from 1 species